rnacentral:rRNA from 1 species
UACGUAGGGUGCAAGCGUUAAUCGGAAUUACUGGGCGUAAAGCGUGCGCAGGCGGUUUUGUAAGUCUGACGUGAAAUCCCCGGGCUCAACCUGGGAAUUGCGUUGGAGACUGCAAGGCUGGAGUCUGGCAGAGGGGGGGUGGAAUUCCACGUGUAGCAGUGAAAUGCGUAGAGAUGUGGAGGAACACCGAUGGCGAAGGCAGCCCCCUGGGCUAAGAUUGACGCUCAGGCACGAAAGCGUGGGGAGCAAACAGG